UACGGAAGGGGCUAGCGUAGUUCGGAAUUACUGGGCGUAAAGAGCGCGUAGGCGGCUUACCAAGUUGGGGGUGAAAUCCCGGAGCUCAACUCCGGAACUGCCUUCAAAACUGGUAGGCUCGAGUCCGGAAGAGGGGCGUGGAAUUCCCAGUGUAGAGGUGAAAUUCGUAGAUAUUGGGAAGAAUACCGGUGGCGAAGGCGGCGCCCUGGUCCGGUACUGACGCUGCGGAGCGAAAGCGUGGGGAGCAAACAGG
rnacentral:rRNA from 1 species